rnacentral:rRNA from 1 species
AUACGGAGGAUCCGAGCGUUACCCGGAUUUAUUGGGUUUCAAGGGUGCGCAGGCGGCCAUUUAAGUCAGCGGUUAAAUCGUGGGGCUCAACCCCAUUCUGCCGUUGAUACUGGGUGGCUUGAUUGGGGUCGAGGUUGGCGGAAUUCGUUGUGUAGCGGUGGAAUGCAUAGAUAUGACGAAGAACACCGAUUGCGUAGGCAGCUGACCAGACCGCAAAUGACGCUCAUGCACGAAAGUGCGGGGAUCGAACAGGAUUAGAUACCCUGGUAGUCCGCACAGUAAACGAUGAAUACUUGUUUUCGGCGAUAUAAUGUCGGAGGCAAAGCGAAAGCGAUAAGUAUUCCACCUGGGGAGUACGCCGGCAACGGUGAAACUCAAAGGAAUUGACGGGG